AAGCCAUACACUUAACCAUAUUCUAGUAACUAAGUCACCUAUCAAAUCACAUUCAAAAAAAAAUUCCCUUUAAAAUUCCUACACUUAACCAUUUUCAAGUGAUUAAGUCACCAAACAAACCAUAUUCAAAACAAAAAAACCCCUUUAAAGUUCCUGCACUCAACCAUUUUCAAGUAACUAAGUCAUUAAACAAACCAUAUUCCCAAACCACAUUCCAAAAAA
rnacentral:lncRNA from 1 species